rnacentral:rRNA from 1 species
AUUGAACGCUGGCGGCAGGCCUAACACAUGCAAGUCGAACGGUAGCACAGAGAGCUUGCUCUCGGGUGACGAGUGGCGGACGGGUGAGUAAUGUCUGGGAAACUGCCUGAUGGAGGGGGAUAACUACUGGAAACGGUAGCUAAUACCGCAUAAUGUCGCAAGACCAAAGAGGGGGACCUUCGGGCCUCUUGCCAUCGGAUGUGCCCAGAUGGGAUUAGCUUGUUGGUGAGAUAAAGGCUCACCAAGGCGACGAUCCCUAGCUGGUCUGAGAGGAUGACCAGCCAGACUGGAACUGCGACACGGUCCAGACUCCUACGGGAGGCAGCAGUGGGGAAUAUUGCACGAUGGGCGCAAGCGUGAUGCAGCCAUGCCGCAUGUGUGAAGAAGGCCUUCGGGUUGUAAAGCACUUUCAGCGGGGAGGAAGGCGGUGAGUUUAAUAAGCUCACCGAUUGACGUUACCCGCAAAAGAAGCACCGGCUAACUCCGUGCCAGCCGCCGCCGUAA